rnacentral:rRNA from 1 species
GGGGAAUUUUCCGCAAUGGGGGAAAGCCUGACGGAGCAAUACCGCGUGAGGGAGGACGGCUUUUGGGUUGUAAACCUCUUUUAUCAGGGAAGAAACAAAUGACGGUACCUGAUGAAUCAGCAUCGGCUAACUCCGUGCCAGCAGCCGCGGUAAUACGGAGGAUGCAAGCGUUAUCCGGAAUUAUUGGGCGUAAAGCGUCCGUAGGUGGUUGUUCAAGUCUGCUGUCAAAGCGUGGAGCUUAACUCCAUACCGGCAGUGGAAACUGGGCGACUAGAGUGCGAUAGGGGUAACGGGAAUUCCCAGUGUAGCGGUGAAAUGCGUAGGGAUUGGGAAGAACACCAGCGGCGAAAGCGCGUUACUGGGUCUGCACUGACACUGAGGGACGAAAGCUAGGGGAGCGAAAGGGAUUAGAUACCCCUGUAGUCCUAGCCGUAAACGGUGGAUACUAGGUGUGGUUCGUAUCGACCCGAGCCGUGCCGGAGCUAACGCGUUAAGUAUCCCGCCUGGGGAGUACGCACGCUAGUGUGAAACUCAAAGGAAUUGACGGGGGCCCGCACAAGCGGUGGAGUAUGUGGUUUAAUUCGAUGCAACGCGAAGAACCUUACCAAGGCUUGACAUGUCGCGAACCUUCUUGAAAGGGAAGGGUGCCUUCGGGAGCGCGAACACGGGUGGUGCAUGGCUGUCGUCAGCUCGUGUCGUGAGAUGUUGGGUUAAGUCCCGCAACGAGCGCAACCCACGUUUUUAGUUGCCAGCAUUCAGUUGGGCACUCUAGAGAGACUGCCGGUGACAAACCGGAGGAAGGUGUGGAUGACGCCAAGUCAGCAUGCCCCAUACGCCUUGGGCUACACACGUACUACAAUGCUACGGACAGAGGGACGCCAGCCCGCGAGGGUGAGCAAAUCUCGUAAACCGUGGCUCAGUUCAGAUUGCAGGCUGCAACUCGCCUGCAUGAAGGCGGAAUCGCUAGUAAUCGCCGGUCAGCAUACGGCGGUGAAUACGUUCCCGGGCCUUGUACACACCGCCCGUCACACCAUGGGAGUUGGUCAUGCCCGAAGUCGUUACUCCAACCAUUCGUGGAGGGGGACGCCGAAGGUGGGGCUGAUGACUGGGGUGAAGUCGUAACAAGGUAGCCGUACCGGAAGGUGUGGCUGGAUCACCUCCU